UACAGAGGUCCCAAGCGUUGUUCGGAUUCACUGGGCGUAAAGGGUGCGUAGGUGGUCGGGUAAGUCCGAUGUGAAAUCUCCAGGCUCAACCUGGAAAUGGCAUUGGAUACUAUUCGGCUUGAGGAGUGGAGGGGGGGACUGGAAUUCUCGGUGUAGCAGUGAAAUGCGUAGAUAUGCGGAGGAACACCGAUGGCGAAGGCAAUCCCCCUGGACCUGUACUGACGCUCAUGCACGAAAGCGUGGGGAGCAAACAGG
rnacentral:rRNA from 1 species